GAUGAACGCUGGCGGCGUGCUUAACACAUGCAAGUCGAACGGAAAGGCCCAAGCUUGCUUGAGUACUCGAGUGGCGAACGGGUGAGUAACACGUGGGUGAUCUGCCCUGCACUUCGGGAUAAGCCUGGGAAACUGGGUCUAAUACCGGAUAGGACGAUGGUUUGGAUGCCAUUGUGGAAAGUUUUUUCGGUGUGGGAUGAGCUCGCGGCCUAUCAGCUUGUUGGUGGGGUAAUGGCCUACCAAGGCGUCGACGGGUAGCCGGCCUGAGAGGGUGUACGGCCACAUUGGGACUGAGAUACGGCCCAGACUCCUACGGGAGGCAGCAGUGGGGAAUAUUGCACAAUGGGCGCAAGCCUGAUGCAGCGACGCCGCGUGGGGGAUGACGGCCUUCGGGUUGUAAACUCCUUUCGCUAGGGACGAAGCGUUUUUGUGACGGUACCUGGAGAAGAAGCACCGGCUAACUACGUG
rnacentral:rRNA from 1 species